CUCAGGUGUUUUCCGCCUGGCGAGACAUUGACCGCGGCCCGGGCACGGAGCCGCGCGGGGCUGAGGAGAGGGCGCGGACCGGGCACUGCGGAAGGGCCAUUUCGCCGCUGCAACUUUCCGCCUCGGCUUUUCUUUCCCCCUUCGCCUGCCCUAAGUGGCUCAAGAGUCACUGCCUUGUAAAGUCAGCGAGUCUGAGGACAGCAGUUUUGGAUAGAAAAUACAGGCGUUGCCUGAUAAAUGAAUGAACACCGCACUACACAGCCUUGCAGUCCAAGGGCUAUUAAUUCCAAAAUUACGUGGAAGGAGAAGCUAAUGCAAAUAAACUAGUUAAAUACUGAGUAUAUACUGAGUUCUUAUGCAUUCUGCUCUAUCACUAUAACUGCCAAUAUCAAAGAUAUUAUAAACAUAAUAAUAAAGAUAAUAAUAUAGGUAAUAAUAAAUAUAGAAAAGCAACUGAGUAACAGCAUUGCUAAACUGUGUCUGAUGCUGAUAGCCAUGUUGCUAAUACUGCACUGCCUACACUGACACCGACAAAAUUAGUUGGUCCAAGAAGAAAUGAAGGGGAUAGAACAAAAAAUUCAGUUGUAGUACUACCAAAGACAACCCCUUACCAUGAACAUUUUUAUGCUCAAAGAAUAAAACCACUUGCUUUAACACUGACAGCAGAAUCUUAACUCUGAUUACAAGUUGCUGAAAUUCAAGCUUUAUUAGUGACUGAAAAGAAGGAAAAGAAAAGAUGGAAUGCUGGCAGUGGUCAACAAGGCAGAGACCAACAGAUGUUACAUUCUAAUGGAGAUACCACUCUGUAUCCAUAAAUCCUGUUUCUUCUAGUAUACAGAAAAGGUAAUAGGGAGGAGGAUACCAGAGGUACUGAAUUCUUCCUUCUACAAACCCUGUAAACCAGUUAUGCUCAAGUGAAAUACCUUCUAAUGAGUAGUGGGGCCAGUUUCCAUUGCCAUAGGUAAGGAAACUAAGUGAAAAACAACUCUAUAAUCAGUGGCUAAAAAUUAUCACUAAUACUUUUACAAAUACUAUAGGCUUCUUUGUUAGGCAAACCACAUUAUUUUAGGUUGUAACAGUAUUACAGCUGAAUUUAAAACACUCUUAUUUUUUAUAAAACCACAAAUUGUAUUUUCAGGUUUGCCUAUGUAAAAAUAUUGCAGUAAGAGGCAAAAAAUAUGCAUAAAAAUCAAGUAUAGCAUUGUUCAUGGUUGCAACUGUCACACCCCCCCUGUUCAUGGUUGCGACUGUCACAAGAGCAAACAAAUGAUAAAUAGAUUUUUUUUUUCGAUGUAGGUUUCUUUCCAAUCAAAAUAUUGUAACUAAGCAACGAUGAGAAAAUCCCAUCUAACCCACAUCAUGAGGAAACAGUGUGUAACACAUUUCAGGCUGGGCAUAUACAACAGUAAUUCCUGGGUAUUGAAAAUAUUAAGACAUAUUUAGAGCAUUUACAACCAAAAAUAAAGAACUGUAAAAGCUCUGAGGUAAUUUUUGGCCUUUUAGAUAUUAAAAUAUACUAUUGGGGUACUGCAUAAAAUUCCCAAUCAACAAACCCCGUUCUAGUCCUCUUGGGGUAUUACUACAGACAUUGCCAACAAGCAAGUUUAUUGUCAAAUAAAACAUAUUGUUUUCAAACUUCAGCAGAUUCAAUUAAUUUUUUCCUUUUUUUUCUUUCUUUCACCUUCUGACUUAGAUCAGACAUAGCAGGAUUGCCACUACAGUGAUCCUGCUCUCUGAAUAUACUCACUUGAAUUUUUUUUCCUUAACCAUCAAAAAUUAUGCAGCAAUUAAUUGCUGUCAGAAGUCACUUGAAGUCUCUGUGUCAUCACCGUUGACAAAAGUUCUUUUGGCUCCAUCCAUGAUCAUGUAAUCCCCUUGCAAUUUUCCUGCAAAAAAUUGAAGUUUUCAUUUCCAAAACAUUUUUUAAGGAAAGGCUAACCCUAAUAGAAAGGCUAUUACUUUAUCAGAGUACUCAAGAAAAAGCAGGUUUAUUACCUCUUUGUAUUAAUAACCUCAUAUUUCCUUAUUCCUCUCUGCAAAAGAGAAGGAUUUUUAAGUCCAAAUUGCUUAAGAAUCUUCUGCUUUUACUUUUUAGGUGAGCACCUAGCACCUCUUUACUGACUUCUUUAUAAUAUAACAUGGAAAAGCAUCACUAUUGCAACUAAAGAAUUACGUCUAAGGACACGGGCCUCUGCACAGCAUAUCCACUCCCAAAAAGAACUCCUUUUAUCUGUACUAAGUUUAUGUGAUAUCUGCUUCUCAUCUUCUAGAUGGUAGGGUAUUAGUUUUAUAGACCAAGAUCCCAUGUCUCAAACUGUUUUGUAAGCAUCUUCUAGAAAAAAAAAAAAAAUCAAUUAGACAGUAUGAUUACAAAACAACAAAUCUCUUUCUCAUCUUCCGGGAUAAUGAAAUUAUCAUCUUCUCUCAUCUGGGAAAAGUGUACAAUAUGCCUUUUAAUGACUGCAUAAUGUGGCAAUGGUUAAUAUAAUUAUGUCUGUUCCUACAGUCUUUAUUACUUGCAAGCUGUCCCAUUAACACUGGUGAUUGCUGGUAUGACUUCUGUGCCUGCCUGCCAAAUAAGGAAUGAAGAACCAGGACCUCCAAAUUAAAUUAGUUCACCUGUACU
ensembl:lncRNA